rnacentral:lncRNA from 1 species
GACUCCUGACAGUUUCCUCUGUCUGUUUUAUGGAACUAUCGCUUAAGGAUUCCCAAGACCUGUGGAUUUACAGACAUACCAAGGCGCCUGGGGGA